rnacentral:rRNA from 1 species
GAUGAACGCUGGCGGCGUGCCUAAUACAUGCAAGUAGAACGCUGAAGGAAGGAGCUUGCUCUUUCCGGAUGAGUUGCGAACGGGUGAGUAACGCGUAGGUAACCUGCCUGGUAGCGGGGGAUAACUAUUGGAAACGAUAGCUAAUACCGCAUAACAGUAGAUGUUGCAUGAUAUCUACUUAAAAGGUGCAAUUGCACCACUACCAGAUGGACCUGCGUUGUAUUAGCUAGUUGGUGAGGUAACGGCUCACCAAGCCGACGAUACAUAGCCGACCUGAGAGGGUGAUCGGCCACACUGGGACUGAGACACGGCCCAGACUCCUACGGGAGGCAGCAGUAGGGAAUCUUCGGCAAUGGACGGAAGUCUGACCGAGCAACGCCGCGUGAGUGAAGAAGGUUUUCGGAUCGUAAAGCUCUGUUGUAAGAGAAGAACGAGUGUGAGAGUGGAAAGUUCACACUGUGACGGUAUCUUACCAGAAAGGGACGGCUAACUACGUG